rnacentral:rRNA from 1 species
CAGGUCAGUACAUGUUGUUGGUUGGUUGAUUGAGAGAGUUUGGUUGGUUGGUUGGUUGGAUGUGCAGGUGGUUGGUUGAAAGGUAGAUUGAUUUGGUUGGUG